AAUAGCAAUAGGAACAAUAGAAUAAGCAAUAGAUAAGCAAGGCAAUGCAAUGUAGAAAAAAAAAGAUGAGGAAAAGGCAAAUUGCAAGGUAUACAUAAGUUUUUAAGAACCAAGAGUAGUGCACAAGAAUGGUUGUAUUAUUAACAUGUUGAGAAUGUUUUAGAGAGACAUAAGAGUAACUAGAAGUAGUGUGCAUACAUACACAAAAUAUAUACAAAAUGUACAUAUACAUUC
rnacentral:lncRNA from 1 species